CCCUGGGAUCAUGACCUGAGCCGAAGGCAGAUGCUUAACGACUGAACCACCCAGGCGCCCCACGUGUAUUCUGUUUCUUAGUGUGAGCCCUCCUGAAGGCUCUCUGGUCAGCUGCUGCCGUCAGGUAAGACCUCUGUGGUGAAGGAACAACAAAGUGCUGCCACAGUGUGGGUGUGUACGGCCAGGGGCUGCUGGCCUGGUGCUCAGAGUACGACUGAACUCAAGGGCUUUGCCGUUUGGUGUGCAUUAAAUUGAACACAACCCAAGUAAGUUGAAAACAAAGACCUUUUUAUUACUUGUUACAAGUAAGGACGGGAAGAUAGCUCUCAAAGUACUGUCUUCCUGUGGGGUUAGUACAAGAAGCUUUAACUCUGUAUUGGGGGGCAGGAGCAGGGAAAUUGUAUAUACAUUAAGAAACUUAGAGAUAUUCUAUGCUUAGGCACUUUGGUUCAACUGAGCAUGCCUAGCAUGUCAACAUGCUAGUGCAUACAUUGUAUGUUCAAAAAUGGCAGAAAACUCAGCCCAUGGGAGGAGAUCUUAGUAUUAUAAUGAGCUAAAGUUAACUUUAGGACAACUCAGGGGGGCUUCUUUGGCAGGUCCUCAGCUCCAAACCAGCCAAAACUGGCUCACAUAAGAGGCCAUCUGGUGAACCACCUGGCUGGGGAGUCUCCUUGGCUGGCUGCUGGUUCUGCAAGACAAAGCACAUUGCUUCCCAGCUUUUGUUCCUUCCCUCUCCUCCCUUCUGCUGAUGGCUUUCAGCCCUCAGAUCUGAGUAACUCCCCUUUGUGUCCUAGCCAACAAGAGGAUGGGAUUUGUGUCCCUGAAGUAGAGGACUUGACGUGGCCCAGCGCUUCUCAGGUGAAGAAGAGCUGAUCUGAGGAACAUUCUGAAGUGGUCUGCAGCAUUAGAAUCGAGAGAGUGAAGAACAGGAAGAUGGAGACAAUAAGGAAGGAAGGUUCACAGAGGGAUUGAAAAAUACUUCAGAGAAACUCCAGACCAAGAUGGCAACAUAAGAGGCCCCUGAAUUUCCUUCCUCCCACAGAUGCACCAAAUUUAUCCCUGCCUGAAACCGCAAAUGAGAAGGCAUUUAUGACCAGGCUUGACGGAAAAACACCCUCGCUUUUUAUUUUCUCUCACUUCAAGCCUGUGGAUAUCAUCUUACCUCCGCAAAAAGAGAUCCCAGUAAUGCUGAGGGUGAGUAACAUAGGGAUAGAAAUUUUCAGGUAGCUCCAUUCUGCUGUG